UACGGAGGGUGCAAGCGUUAUCCGGAUUUACUGGGUUUAAAGGGUGCGUAGGCGGGCCAUUAAGUCAGGGGUGAAAGCUCCGAGCUUAACUCGGAAACUGCCAUUGAUACUAUUGGUCUUGAAUUCGGUCGAGGUUGGCGGAAUGUGUCGUGUAGCGGUGAAAUGCUUAGAUAUGACACAGAACACCGAUUGCGAAGGCAGCUAGCUAGACCGACAUUGACGCUGAGGCACGAAAGCGUGGGGAUCAAACAGG
rnacentral:rRNA from 1 species